GGGGAUGAGCUUAUCUCUAGAAACUCUUAUCAAUGUGGAAGGCAAGGACUUAAAUCUGCAUAAUAACCUCACUCUUGUUUACUGUGCUUUUCUGGCAAUCUCCCAUAACUGGCUCCUCCCACCCCCAACAUCCUCCUUUGUCUUUAGCUGAGGAUGGUAUUUAAGGUAAGAGCUUCUGCCAUUUUGGUGAGUUACUCAAUUUUCCUGAGUCUCUCCCACGUAUACAUGUUAUAAAGCUUGUUUAAUUUUCUCCUGUUAUUCUGUCUCAUGUCAAUUUAAUUUGUAGUCUGGCCAGAAGGACUUAGAGUGGGUAGAGGAAAUGUCUUCCUCUCCUACAGUUUAGCAACUUAAACGGGAUAAAAUUUCACUGCCUGGACACUGCUCACUCCUGGACUGCUGCAGCCAAGAGAUCCUGGACCCCUGACAAGAACCAGCAAAAGGACCUGAGAGCCAUUCUUUUGAAAUGCAAAUGUUUCUCAGAAACUGUUUUAUGUGACUUAGGAGCCUUUAUAAGGAAAUGAAGACCCAAAGAAACAGACCUGAGUAUUUUUAUGCUAAGUUUGAUGAAAAGUCGACAGUUGUGGAGGAACAUGAGAGGUCAAGGAGUAUGAGGCCAUAAAGCAAUACAGCUUCUGCCUGCCUCUCUCUCUUGGGAUGCUUGCCCUUGGAACACAGCCAUGCUGUGAGGAAGCCCAAGCUACCUAGAGAGCCCACGUAUAGGUUGUAUUCUGGCAAAAGCCCCUGCAGAAGCCUCAGCUGGCAGCCAGCACAACCACCAGACAAGUGAGUGAGGAAGCCUUCAAGAUGACUUCAGCACCAGUCAGCUGUCUGACUAAAACCACAUGAGAGACCCCCAACUGACAGCUGCCCAGCUGAGCCCAGUCAACCCCCAGAUAUGUAAGAAAUAAUAAAAAAUGAUUGUGAUGCUUUAUGUCACUAGGUUUGGGGUGGUUUGUUAUGCAAUUAUAGAUAACUGGAACUCUGAGAACCCAGGUGAUGCAGUCUGUGAAAGCCUUUUGGGCACAGAGAAAGAGCAGAAAGUGA
rnacentral:lncRNA from 1 species